ensembl:lncRNA
GACAAAUCAACCACACUGGAUGGAUUACUAUAUCAUUUUUCUAAGGGAAUAUACUUUGACAGGGGUCGCGGGGGGCGCUGGAGCCUAUCCCAGCUGUCAUAGGGCGAGAGGCAGGGUACACCCUGGACAGGUGGCCAGUCUGUCACAGGGCCAGAGAACCAUUCGCACCUAGUGGCAAUUUGGAUUAUCCAAUUAACCUAUCCCCACAAGUUGCAUGUCUUUGGACGGUGGGAGGAAGCCGGAGUACCCGGAGUGAACCCACGCAAACACGGGGAGAACAUGCAAACUCCACACAGAAAGACCCCAGCCUGAUGGUGGAAUUGAACUCAGGACCUUCUUGCUGUGCGGCAACAGUGCUAACCACCGUGCCACCGUGCUGCAUGUGAACAGGAAAAUGACAGACGAGCUCUGGAUUAAUUAACCAAUUAGAAGUGGAGCCCCUGGGAGGCGUUUGAGGGUCCAAUCCCCUUGUUGUCAUUAGACACACAUACAUGGCCUCAAUUAGGCAGUGCUGUGAUAGGUCUCAUUGACUGGAAGAUGCAUCUCCAGGAGCAGUGUUUGUCUCCCCCCUUGAGUGACUGAGUAGCUCGAUUCAAUUAUAUCGGAAUCCCCAUAUUGAAGAUUUUGAGCAUCACUGUCUUUUCUCUUCUAUGUUGUCUUUCUUUCUGCAGAGAUCAAUGUCCUCUCCGUAGCUCUAAGCAACAGGCAUGUCAACUUUGUGUCUGUAAAUUUACAGAAAGUCUGUCUCACACUGAGCCCAUGCAUUGUUAUUGGUCAGGAACACAGAGGGAGAAUAAUGACUAAAUGAAAGGAUAAAAGGAAGAAUCUAUAUCCUACCAUGUUCAUAUGUUUGUAAGGUUCUUUCCCACCUUCUUAACUUGACUGACAGGGGCUGGAUACUUGAGGACUGAGUGUACACUACAGUAUGCUGUGUGUCAGCACUGAUUGGCCUUAUUAGGACAACACCGCAGACGGCCACAGACACAGCAGGGGAGUGUUGAUGCUGCUAGAGACAAGACAAGACAAGUUCACCACUUCUCAUCAUUUACUCAUUUGUCUUUUCACUUGGCCAGCAAUCACAGCUGAUCUCUACAGUAUGUAACCAUAACGGCUAAAUGACAGCCUAACCUUUUGGUCACCAGGGGACACUAAUGCAAGACUCUCAGUUUGUUUUGCUAGCAUACUGAGCCCCACAAAAUGUUUAGUAUGUUGUAAUGAGGCUCCAGUGGGCUGGUUAAUGUUUUCAUACAUAAUGUUGAGGCCUACAAAAAUGAGUCAUAAUAAGCUAAUCUUCUCAAAGUUGAAAGCCUGUCUUCACUUUGCAUGUUGCUAUGGCCCAGCCCCCAUGCCACAACAAAAAAAAUGAAAGGACAUGACAGUGAAAGAUUAAACUGAG